rnacentral:misc_RNA from 1 species
AAGUCGUAACAAGGUUUCCGUAGGUGAACCUGCGGAAGGAUCAUUAACGAAUAUCUAUGGCGUUGGUUGUAGCUGGCUCUUAGGAGCAUUUUGUGCACGCCCGUCAUUCAUAUCAUCUUUCCACCUGUGAACUAUGUGUAGGCCUGGAUACCCCUCGCUUUGGCAACAAGGCGGAUACAAGGAUUGCUGCGUCGCAAGGCCAGCUCUCUUUGAAUUUCCAGGUUCUAUGUCUUUUACACACCCCAUUUGAAUGAUGUAGAAUGUAGUCAAUGGGCUAUCAUGCCUAUAAAACACUAUACAACUUUCAGCAACGGAUCUCUUGGCUCUC